CGGAAUGUUAGAAGAUCCUUCCAGCAUGCUUACCACUUCAGACAUGGUUGGCCUUAGUGAAGGUGACGCAUUGGUGCAUAAGAGUGCUAUUUUAAUCAUUCUCUCUGCUUCAACCUUGUUGAAUUCUGAUCCCAGCCUUGGAUCCACUAACUCCAUUAACGUACCACUUCGGUGUAAAUGGAAGGCCUGGGAAAUACAUAACCGAGACAAUUAUGUUAAAAAUUCUACAUUUAUUGGAUUUAAACUCAUGCCAUAACUGUUGUCCCAAAUAAAUAAAUAACAAACAAACAAACAUGUCCCCACUAAAAUGGAGUUAAAUGUGCUACUAAAGAAUAAAAAUUUAGUUAAUCUCGUACCCAGUCAAGAGGACAGGUGCAAUUACUGUCUGGCACAUAACUCAUAUUAUUCUUCCCACUGACAAUUUCCAAAGCCACAACUCCGAAACUGUAAACAUCUGCUUUGUAGGUCAAGUAACCCCAUAGAGCGUACUCUGGUGCCAUAUAUCCUCUGCAUAUAAAAUUAUCAUGAGUUUUGAUGUUAAAAUAGUGACAAAAUGUCAUUGAAAAGAGAGACAUGUAGCUUACAUUGUUCCAGCAACUCGAGUACUGAUGUGAGUUUUCUCCUCCUCAUCAAGCUUAGCCAGUCCAAAGUCAGAUAUUUUGGGGUUUAAAUCUCUAUCUAGCAGAACAUUCGUAGCUUUGAUGUCUCUAUGAACUAUCUUGAAUCUGGAUUCUUCAUGUAGAAAAGCUAAACCUCUGGCUAUCGCAAGGCAGAUCUUCUGCCUCACUGACCAGUUCAAUUUCAGUUGACUGUUUUCACCACCUUAACAUGACCAUUCCAAGAAAUAUUACUAGGGAGAAUAAUAGAUUGGUAUAUAACUUGUAUAGUGUUUCUAAGUUACUAUUUUAUUUUCCUCUCAUAUAAUCAAUCAAGCAAUCAUCAAUAUAUUACACUUACCGAAUAACGCAUGGGCAAGGCUGUUGUUUUCCAUGUAUUCAUAUACUAGCAAGAGUUGAUCCCCUUCAACACAACAGCCAUGAAUUUUAACAAGAUUUGGGUGUUGCAAACACGAAAUCAUGGCUAUCUCAUUUAAGAAUUCACGAUUCCCCUGCCUUGAUUUUGAAGAGAGCUGCUUCACAGCAAUUAUAGUACCAUUGGUUAACUGUAAAUUAAGACAAGUGUGCUUUAGCCUCUAGAUGAGUUUCCGGGUUCAUUAAGUUAUUUGCUUACUAAAUUUAAUGUGGAUGGUCAAAAUGAGCAUCAGCAUGUAGUUUGAACCUAAAUGUCUUCACAUGCUUACAUAAAUGCUGUCAAGAACUAAAGUUAAUGCUGUUAUAAAGCUACUAUUUUGAUUAUUAUAAUGAAAAAGAAAAUGAUUGUGAAUAAAUGUUGAGUAGCAAACGGAAGCAUUUUUAAAUUUUUAUCUAAAAGAAGCCCACACCUCUUUCUUUGCGCCUCUUGGUUCUCAGAUAGUACCUCCAACCGAGGAUACCGAACGCCAAGAUUAUGAGAGAUAAUCCUGCAACUACUCCAACAACAAUCGGCACUACCUUCUUAUUUUCAGGUUUGAAGUCUGCCAAGGAGAAUCCAUGAAGCAGGAUUAUCAGAAGCAUGUGAAAACAUGGAACGAAUGCAUUACAGAAACGUGUGGGCAUGAAAAAAAAUUCAAAACUACGUUGAUAGGCUUAAUAACUUAUGGGGAUUUUCUUUUUCCUUUCACAUAAAAUCGAUAUGUAAGAAAAUGGCUGCAAACAAACUAAAUAUCUGAAUUUUGGUUGUUUUCUAAUGUACAAUCGUAGAGAGUUAAACUUCAAAAAAGAACAUUUGAAAUUGUGUUACUAAAAAUCCGGACUUCGCAACGUAUUAUAAUGUUAGUCGAUUUUGAAAACAGAAUAAGGGAUGAAAAGGACUCACUGGGGUCAUUCAAUGAAAUAGCUGAUACUAGGGGGCCGUAGAUUCCCCUCUUAGGAAGUGCGGUAGUCCCUUUGCCAGCCCAAUGGAAAUGGAUCUCUAUAAUGUGAUUUGUAACAGUGACAUUAUAGGAUCUUGCAACUGGCUUAAGAACCCCAGAAGCUUCAGCUUUUAUAUCGAAAUUCCUCUCAACUAGUUUGUCCUGAAACAAGACAAUCCAGAGAAACAUUUUGAGAAUCAUCCAUCAUACUACUCAAUAGCAUGUCUGUGUCCCAAGAACUCACACAGAGAAAUUUUUCCAAUGAAAAUCUAUUUCCUAAUUUUAAUUAAUUACCUGAAUAUAAAUAUCAAACAAACGGCUUCCCAGGCUGUGAAAUGUAAUUCCAUUACUGAACUGGAUCUCCGCAAAGUGUAGACUCAACAUAUAAUUCCUAUUGUCUAAACAAUAUCCAAAAUACGUAAGUGAAAGAGGAGCAAUGCGUGCAUUAAUAUAUAGUUCAGAAAGGUCUGAUGAGUUAGAAGUUGCAAUGUAACGUUUGUUUUCUUCAUCAUUGUCAUCAGUGAAGUCUCCACUGCUACUAAAACCCCAGUUAGUAUCAUCUUGUGAAUGGCAUGUUGCAGCACCACCACCAAUUUGUCCAUCUCCUUCAAAUGUGCUGCCAUUUACUUUUACGUCAUUUCCACCACAAUUGAUAUGCAGAGAGUGCCAAUCUGCCGAGACAAAUGAAUUUCAAAGACAAUUGAGCAAUGAGCUUUCAGGAAACCAGAAAUGAAUUGACAAUUGAAAAAAUAAAUGGAGGAAUUGGAGUUGAUUUGAAUAUGAUAUAAUUAAUAGCUAGGCUACCAAAUAUUUGUGAUUCUAAAAGUCAACAUAUUCGAGAUGUAAAUUUUAUGGUGACUUACUGAUAGUAGAGUAUACUUACAUCGAUCACAUUUGAAAUUAUUCCUACAUGGAAGAACUUCACUUCUGGUUUUAGUCAAGGGAAUAAAGAAUAUUAGUAGACAUUACAUUGUCUAAUCUAAAAAUAUACGUUGCUUCUUAUUUAUUGGAUGAUAAAAUGACUGGAUAUUUGCAAACUUCUUUAUACAUUGGUUGUUAAAUCAGUCACAUAAGCUACAAUAAUAAGAAAGCAUGAAAAGCAACAUACAAAUUGCUGUCCCCAGAAGAACUUCGGAACAGGUUCAGAUUUAGACUCCUAACGAAAUAAUGGAAGACAAAGCAAAUAUCAGCACUCAGAUAUCCCAAGUGAUAUUAUAAGCGGAGAAGAUUAUUUAUUUAACAUAGAGAGGGAAAUAUACUGACUGUAUCUCCUGACAAGCAGGCUGCUCAGGGCUUUGAUGAGUGAAAUUAUUAUAUGACAGAUCCCUGCAUGCAAGAAAGAAGCAAUGAAGGAAAUUUCAUGCAUAAUGCUUUUCAAAAUUGAUGUUUAAUAUGGUUUCUUUAGAAACAAGAUUAGAAAGUUACAUAUGGUUACUAUAUAGUAAAUCAACAGAUUGCAAAUAUACAUGAACAUAAAUCACUAAAAUAAAUAAAACUCAAGGCAUCCAGGUGAUAAGAUACACACACAUUGGUUUCUUUCCUCAAGAUCGACGCUGGUAUGUUCCCACUGAGAAAGUUGCCAGUUAGAAAGCUGACCAAGGCCAUAUCAAGUGGUUAAUGAGUUGGACAUCACAUAAUUAACAUUGUAAAUCCAGACAGUUGAUUUCAUUAACUUACAUGAAUUUCAAACUCGGUGGAGUUGCAACAUUGGGAAUUUUCCCGGUUAGCCUAUUAAAACUGAGAUCCCUGUCCAAACCAAAUUCAAAAGAGAAUGAUUAUCCAUGUAAAUACAUUAACUGGCCUGUAAGUGCUGAUGCUUCACCUCUAUUGCUGCUAUGGCAGCUGCAAGGUAUAGAAGAAUACUACAUUACUAGUUGGUGUUACAUUUCAUGAAUGCUAACCGUGAAUUUUGCUUUCAUUUUCAAGUAUUUAAUUUCUGCAUUAGAAAACAAAGAAUGUAGCAUACUUACAAAAUUCGCAGAUUAUUCAUUCGCCAGAUAUAUUCAGGAAACUCCCCAGAAAUACCACAGUUUCUCAAAGUUCUGAAAAUCCAACAUUAAUCCUGUAAGAUAAUUAUAAGGCGAAUAAUCAUACUCCAUCAAAAUGAUAGAAAAUAGCCAAUGAGCAUACAUCGUUAUAAUGCCUGCCAUCUUUCUAAGAUCCGGAAAAGGAUGAUUUCUUACAGCUAUGUCACUAAUCCUCCUGGUAGAGUGCCAUAAUUAACAGAUCCUUUUAGUAUCAUUAAAUAUAAUAAAUUAAUCGUAUAAAUUAUAAAUUGAUGUAUUAAAUCAUUCUGAUUCUUGUAAUUGAAAAGUAGAGAAAUAUUUACUCACAAUUGUUUCAGAUUUUCCAAGACAGAGAUGGAUGAUGGAAUGGGUCCAUGAAAUUCACUACCUUGCAUUUCUCUGCAUCAACUCAAAUUAACAAAUCAAGAACAAUCAAGAACCAGAAUGUAAGAUGAGAAAUCCUUGUAAUGUAGAUGACCGUACAGUCUCUCAAGUUGCUUCCAGUUUUGUAUAAAUUCUGGUAUACUCCCAUUGAAGUUAUUGUCACUGAUCCUACUGCAAUGUGCAAUAAGAAUGAGUACAGCUUAUACCUCUGAUGAAUUUUGAGCAUGAUCUGACACUAAUCAAGAAAGCUUACAAGUCCGUUAAAUUUUUUAGCUCAGCUAGUCCCGUCGGCAAACUUCCACUCAACUGAUUGGAGGAUAGUCUCCUGUAACCCAUGACAAUUUAUGGUCCAAAUGAUUACAUUGAUCAUGAACAAAUAUCAGCCACAAAAAAGCUUGACAAUGCCUUACAGAGUUCCCAAGUUCACUAAUUUCCUGAACUCCUCAGGUACGGUUCCUGAGAAUUGGUUUGCUUCAAUGUCCCUGGCAAAUUAGACCCAUUCAGAUUACAAAGGGAAUAAAUUAGUUAUCAUUUCCAUCAGUGGCCUAAAUAUGUUUGCAUAAACCAAGAAUUGAUAGCUUACAAGUACGUGAGACUGGUAAUGUCCGCCAAAUAGCUUGGAAUAUCGCCUGAUAACCGGUUUCAAAAAACAGAGCUGCAUUAAGAUUAUUGACGAUCAAUUAACUGUACGAAUCAAGUAGAAUGCUAAAUGCGUAACCUGAUUAGAGAGAAUUAGAUAUAGCUUACAUGAACUUCAACUGCAACAUAGCCCAUUCGACUGGUAUGGAACCAUUUAGGUAGUUGUAGGCAAAAUCACUGCAAAUUAACAAAAACGAUUCAUAUCUAUCUAUAUAUAUAUAUAUAAAACUGGGAUCAUAAGAGGUGAUGUGGCAUCACUAUUUCUCAUCUUCUUGUAUUUUUUAUUAUCUAAUAUAUUGGUUGAGAUUAAAAAAUAAUUAUAUUACAAAUUAUUUAAAAUAAAAAAUAAUUAUUAGAUUACAAAAGAUUACAUUUUUCUUCCUCUCUCUCUAUUUAAAUUCAACAAUAUGUAACCAUUAAUAAUAAUUAAUUAUAAAUUUUGAAACAUUUAUUUAUUUUAUUAUGCCUACAAUUAAACUUUAAUGGCUUAAAAUUUAUCAAUUAAUUAAUAUAGGAAAGAAAGUUCCUUCAUCUUCCCUCAACAAUGCCAUUAGGGCCUAAUUUUAAUGUCAUAAUCUCAUAUUUAAUUAUGCAACCUUUUGUUUAGUGCAUUUUGGUUUCUUCAAACUCUAUAAACAUUAAGUAUUUAAGAUUUGUGGCAUCAUUAUUUCUCAUCUUUUUAUAUUCUCUAUUAUCUAAUAUAUUGGUUGAGAUUAAAAAUAAUUACAUUACAAAAUAUUAAAAAUAGAAAAUAAUUAUUAGAUUACACAAGAUUACAUGUCUCUUCUCCCUUUCUAUUUAAAUUCAACAAUAUGUAACCAUUAAUAAUAAUUAAUUAUAAGUCUUGAAACAUUAAUUUAUUUUAUUAAGCCAACAACUAAAUUUUAGUGGCUUAAAAUACAUCAACUAAUUAAUAUAGGAAGGAAGGUUCCUUCAUCUUCUCUCAUUAAUGCCAUUAAAACCUAAUUUUAAUAUCAUAAUCACAUAUUUAAUUAUGCAACAUUUUGUUUAGUGUAUUUUGCCUUCUUCAAACUUUAUAAACAUUAAGUAUUUAAGAUUUGUUACGUUUGAGUUUUUUUAUUAUUUAACCAACAUCCUCUUUAUAAAUGUCUUGUCUUUUUAUUUUUUUAUUUUUUUGAAUUUUUAAUAUUGUGUGCUUCAUGGAGUACUCUUUUCCAUGAGUUGAACAAUGAUAAAGAUAGUUGGAUGAUAAGGGUUAGAAUUUGUAGGAUGUGUGAGUCUGAUAAUACCAAGAAGAAUGGAGAAUUGAUUAGCAUGAACAUGAUUUUUAUUGAUGAAAAUAUUAUAUAAAAAAUUCAUUCUCCCAUUGUUUUCUCUAAUUUUUUUCCCAAUUGUUUUACACUUAAUGUAGCAUUUUUUUUUCGUAGGAAAAUUUAAUGCAUGCAACAAUCAGGAAAAAUUUAGUGACAAGGUUUAGGCACAUGUUGAGUGAGGGUUCUUUGUACAGUGUCAAAAUUUAAAAGUUGUUUCAACUACAGGUGAGUACAGAGCACUUUCAAAUUAGUAUAAGAUUAUUUUCUUGGUUAUAACUUCGCUUAAGAGGUUAGAAGAAUGAACUGUUAAGAUUCAUAUCAAUAUUGAGAUUGUUAGAGCUGGUUGAAAAAAAAAGAGAUAUAAAAGUUCUACCAAAUUAGCAAGUUGAAUAUAAUUUGGAACUUAUCAAUAAUUAUAAAAGGUAUGAGGUAUGUACACUUUCACUAUACACAUUAAUAUAUAUUUUUAAAGUUAACAAAAAAAAUAAUUAACUUUCAUAAAUAACAUUAAUUUUAUAAAGCUACUUAAUCUUUAAAAAAAAAAUCAAUUCAUAUUUUUUAUCUGUUUCAUCAAAUGUAAAGUAAGAAAAAAUAAUAAUACAAUUUUUUUUUUUAAAGUCGCGCGAAACGCAGUUCUAUUUCUUAGUUUAUUUAUAAGUUUAAUCUCCCAAUGCAUUAAAUUGGAGACUGUUCAACUCACACUUUCUGGAUGGAAGGAAGCUGAACCAAUUCCGGUGAAAGUGUUCCAGAAAGGUUGCAAUGUUUGAAUUGUCUGAAAAUGGAAACAAAAGAUACCCAAAAUUGGUCCUUCACAUCAACCUAAACACAAGACUGAAAAAUAAAAAUAUGCCGCUUCAAAUUUUAUAAAAUGACAGAAAAAGAACCUACAUUUCAGUAAUGUGCUGUGUAUUAUCGAGUCCACGGUUGCAAGUAAUGUUCCUGGUGGGAUCUAAUUCCUGCACUGGGAGUAUAUCAUUCAGGUCACAAGCAUUAGCAUCAAACGUCCAGUCCCUAGUUCCCAUUGUUUUGGCAAUUUGAUUGAGCGCAUCAACUACAUACACAAAGAAGCAUCUCUCAAUUAAACAUCAGAACUUGGUGAAAAUAACAGUUUUGAGUUCGACCAGUCACCAAAUUUGAAGUUGUAUUUUUUUUUUAUUUUUUUAAUAACAUUAUGAAUGUCACUAAUCUGACCAUUGUAAGAUCGCUGACCCUCAAUUCAAUUAUCAUCUUAGGCUCUUAACAAUGUUUUAUUAUUUAUUUCUGAGAGUAAUACAAUACUAAUACCAAGAGAGAGAGAGAGAGAGAGAGAAAUGAAACAUAAGCUACAACUGGUUACAAGAUAUCAUGAAGAAGGGGAUCAUUCGAACCUUCAGCUCGAGGCAGAGUAGCAGAAACAAGUACUUGUGUCCAUAAGCAGCUUAAAGACAGAAUUGAGACAAGGAACAGGUCAAGCUUCAAGAAGGACAUCUUUGAAGACCCAGAAAAGCUAGCCGUGAGGUAUGAGGUAUGAGCCAUCUUUCAAUUCUCUCCAGUUUCCUUGUUGUACCGUACGGAUCUUCUGAUGAGCUGUUAUUAUGACGUUGUUUUAAUAAUCUUGCGCUUCUUUUAUAUUUGCUAAAUGUAGGAAUGAUGAAUCUUCCUCCAAGCAAACAGCUCGAUUAAGAAAAUUUCCAAGUGCAUUAUUUUAAUAAAAAAUUGUCUGUGCACGUGGUUGCCUUGCUGCCAGUGAUAAGAUUCUUAUUAAACCUCAUCCACAGCAUGUCUGAUUAAUCAUUCCCCGAUAUGCAUUUCCUACCUUACGCGUUAAUGGAAGGUACAUUCCCUUACAGAGUUGUGGGUCCUCUCCCCCCUCAGAUAUUUGUGUAUAUCCCCUCACAAGUUGAGUUGUGAGUCCUCCCCCCCCUCAGAUAUUUGAGUUGUGGGCGAUUGGCGAGUGGCGAUUCCCGCCGGAUCCUAUAGCGUGCGUAGCCAGAAAAUAACAAUAAGCUGAUUUCUUGUCUGCUAUUAUUGUUUCUCAAAUCUCACGGAAAGGAUAUUGGUUCUCCGUUUGCCAGAAAAUACCAUUUUUCUUUUGAAUGAUUAUGAUUUCGGAUUUAUUACAGCUUGAAAUUUAUUAGGAUUUUAGAUUUUAGAUAUAUAUAUAUAUUUAUAGUGCAACUAAAAUAUCUAGUUCAUAAAUCUUCUCUCCCUUACAAUUUUCUAUCCCUCUCUCAAUAUAUUUCUUUUUUAAUAUGGAUAUUCUCAUUUUGUUAAAAUAAAGAUGCUACUAAAAUAUAAAAAAUAUAAUUUUUAAUAUAUUAAAAUUUAUAUUUUUUAUCUAUUAGUAUAUUGAAAUAUGUGUUUUAUUUAUUAGUCGCAUCAUCACUUUAUCAAAGUAAAGAUGUCUCAUUAAAAAAUGACUAUAUAUAUACACAUUGUAGGUAUAGGGGUUCUUAUUGUAUUACAUACCUAAUUUUCUAAACUCUUAUUAAAAUAAUAAAAGUAUAUUUAAAACCUAAGGUGGUGUUUAUUUUUUUAUCUAAAAAAUUUGAAUAAACUUGAAUUAGUUUGAAUUUUAAUAGAACUGAAUGUCUGAAUCUAAAUGAUCUAUUUAUUUUUUGUUUGAAUCUCUAAAAAAAAAAAUUAAGUUAUUUUGUUAACUUAAAAAAUCUAAAAACAAGUAUUUUUACAUUUGUGCACUUAUAAAUUAAUAUAUGCAUUUCAAAAUAAUUUCAAUAAUUUUGAAGAUAAUUUUAUAUAUUAAAAAAUAUUCUAAUAUUAUUAGAAUACUAGAAAAAUUAAACUAUUUACAUUAUAUUUGUACUUAUUAAAUAAUUUUAAAGUAAAAUUUUUAAUUAUUAUUUACUAAGGGUAUUAUAAUCAGAACAUAAUUUAAGUAUCUUUUGUUGAAAAUUUAUGUCUACUUAAUUAUUUUCCUAAAUUUUGAGGGUAUAAGGAUCGGCUUGUCUGAAUGCAUUGCACUCCUUAUCUAAAAAGGAUGGACUUAGAAUGUUCACAUAAAAAAAUUAAAAAAAAUAUAUAUAUAUAUAUAUAUAUAUAUGAUCGGGGUGGGGCGCGUAUAGUAUUUGCGCAUUNNNNNNNNNNNNNNNNNNNNNNNNNNNNNNNNNNNNNNNNNNNNNNNNNNNNNNNNNNNNNNNNNNNNNNNNNNNNNNNNNNNNNNNNNNNNNNNNNNNNNNNNNNNNNNNNNNNNNNNNNNNNNNNNNNNNNNNNNNNNNNNNNNNNNNNNNNNNNNNNNNNNNNNNNNNNNNNNNNNNNNNNNNNNNNNNNNNNNNNNNNNNNNNNNNNNNNNNNNNNNNNNNNNNNNNNNNNNNNNNNNNNNNNNNNNNNNNNNNNNNNNNNNNNNNNNNNNNNNNNNNNNNNNNNNNNNNNNNNNNNNNNNNNNNNNNNNNNNNNNNNNNNNNNNNNNNNNNNNNNNNNNNNNNNNNNNNNNNNNNNNNNNNNNNNNNNNNNNNNNNNNNNNNNNNNNNNNNNNNNNGGCGGAUGUACGGUACAGCAGGGGUUGGGUCGCGUAUAGUAUUUGCGCAUUAGUUUAUAAACUAUUCAUUAUCAGCAUCGCUAUUACCAAUUGAUAAUUUUCCUCAACUCAAAACUUUUUAUAUGUGUUAUCAACAUCAUCAAUUUUAUCACAUCUUUCACCUAUUUCUAAAAAAUCGUACAUAUAUACGUAUACAUACAUUCAUCCAAAUAAAGGAAUUUAAUUAAAAAAAAUCACAAUAUUAUUCAAUGAUGAAGGAUUUCCGCAUCAACCUUCAAGCUCCAUAAUUUCAACAACUCCAGAAAAAUGGUAACUCUUUCCUCCAAACACACAGAUAUGACUUCUAUAGUACGUACUUGCUGAAAAUUUUAGAUACAAAGAUGAUGCGAGAAGGUAUGACACAUAGACGUAGGUUACAAAAAAGUUGAAUGUUGAAACUUGAAACUAGCUUGCGGAUGAUUUUGCACAUCCGCUGGACUCAAAUUGUGUUGUGAAGAUCAUGGGCAGAUUUUGAAGANNNNNNNNNNNNNNNNNNNNNNNNNNNNNNNNNNNNNNNNNNNNNNNNNNNNNNNNNNNNNNNNNNNNNNNNNNNNNNNNNNNNNNNNNNNNNNNNNNNNNNNNNNNNNNNNNNNNNNNNNNNNNNNNNNNNNNNNNNNNNNNNNNNNNNNNNNNNNNNNNNNNNNNNNNNNNNNNNNNNNNNNNNNNNNNNNNNNNNNNNNNNNNNNNNNNNNNNNNNNNNNNNNNNNNNNNNNNNNNNNNNNNNNNNNNNNNNNNNNNNNNNNNNNNNNNNNNNNNNNNNNNNNNNNNNNNNNNNNNNNNNNNNNNNNNNNNNNNNNNNNNNNNNNNNNNNNNNNNNNNNNNNNNNNNNNNNNNNNNNNNNNNNNNNNNNNNNNNNNNNNNNNNNNNNNNNNNNNNNNNNNNNNNNNNNNNNNNNNNNNNNNNNNNNNNNNNNNNNNNNNNNNNNNNNNNNNNNNNNNNNNNNNNNNNNNNNNNNNNNNNNNNNNNNNNNNNNNNNNNNNNNNNNNNNNNNNNNNNNNNNNNNNNNNNNNNNNNNNNNNNNNNNNNNNNNNNNNNNNNNNNNNNNNNNNNNNNNNNNNNNNNNNNNNNNNNNNNNNNNNNNNNNNNNNNNNNNNNNNNNNNNNNNNNNNNNNNNNNNNNNNNNNNNNNNNNNNNNNNNNNNNNNNNNNNNNNNNNNNNNNNNNNNNNNNNNNNNNNNNNNNNNNNNNNNNNNNNNNNNNNNNNNNNNNNNNNNNNNNNNNNNNNNNNNNNNNNNNNNNNNNNNNNNNNNNNNNNNNNNNNNNNNNNNNNNNNNNNNNNNNNNNNNNNNNNNNNNNNNNNNNNNNNNNNNNNNNNNNNNNNNNNNNNNNNNNNNNNNNNNNNNNNNNNNNNNNNNNNNNNNNNNNNNNNNNNNNNNNNNNNNNNNNNNNNNNNNNNNNNNNNNNNNNNNNNGGCGGAUGUACGGUACAGCAGGGGUUGGGUCGCGUAUAGUAUUUGCGCAUUAGUUUAUAAACUAUUCAUUAUCAGCAUCGCUAUUACCAAUUGAUAAUUUUCCUCAACUCAAAACUUUUUAUAUGUGUUAUCAACAUCAUCAAUUUUAUCACAUCUUUCACCUAUUUCUAAAAAAUCGUACAUAUAUACGUAUACAUACAUUCAUCCAAAUAAAGGAAUUUAAUUAAAAAAAAUCACAAUAUUAUUCAAUGAUGAAGGAUUUCCGCAUCAACCUUCAAGCUCCAUAAUUUCAACAACUCCAGAAAAAUGGUAACUCUUUCCUCCAAACACACAGAUAUGACUUCUAUAGUACGUACUUGCUGAAAAUUUUAGAUACAAAGAUGAUGCGAGAAGGUAUGACACAUAGACGUAGGUUACAAAAAAGUUGAAUGUUGAAACUUGAAACUAGCUUGCGGAUGAUUUUGCACAUCCGCUGGACUCAAAUUGUGUUGUGAAGAUCAUGGGCAGAUUUUGAAGAACCAGUCCAUGAGGGGACUGGUGUUGAUAAUUGGGCAACCGAUCUUUGUCUUUCCAUAUGAAUAUGACUGUCUCUCAUGGCCUUAAACUUCAAAUAUGCCUCUGCAUUAAUUUCACGGACAUCAUCGGUAGAGGAAGAACCAGGCAAGAAGCUGGCUGACGAUGAAUAAUGAGACAGACUUCCUUCCAAACCCGAACUAUUCAUUUCUCUUGGAUGGUCUCUUAGAGUUUUAAACCUCAAGUCUUCACUCAAACCACCGGCUUCAGGGAUUACAUCCGGAAUGUUAGAAGAUCCUUCCAGCAUGCUUACCACUUCAGACAUGGUUGGCCUUAGUGAAGGUGACGCAUUGGUGCAUAAGAGUGCUAUUUUAAUCAUUCUCUCUGCUUCAACCUUGUUGAAUUCUGAUCCGAGCCUUGGAUCCACUAACUCCAUUAACGUACCACUUCGGUGUAAAUGGAAGGCCUGGGAAAUACAUAACCGAGACAAUUAUGUUAAAAAUUCUACAUUUAUUGGAUUUAAACUCAUGCCAUAACUGUUGUCCCAAAUAAAUAAAUAACAAACAAACAAACAUGUCCCCACUAAAAUGGAGUUAAAUGUACUACUAAAGAAUUAAAAAUUUAGUUAAUCUUGUACCCAGUCAAGAGGACAGAUGCAAUUACUGUCUGGCACAUAACUCAUAUUAUACUUCCCACUGACAAUUUCCAAAGCCCUGCUGUACCGUACAUCCGCCUUGGCCGUACAGCAGAUGUUAAUAUAAUUCAUUAAUUAGUAAAAUAUUCACUUUUCUUUUUCGAUGUAUUAAAUUAUUUGGUAUCUAAAAAUUACAUUGGGCUCCGACUAAUUCAGAUUUGAGUUGGGUGAAACUACUAGGACGGCAAAUCUCUCCCAACAAAUAUUUAACGUAGCUGUAUUUCCAAGUCUCGAACCAAAAACUUUGGUUAAGUUAGAAUAGCCUCGUACUAGCUGAUCUACGUGCUAUUCACUUUAGUAUUGAUCUCAUAUUCUUGAGGCACGUUAAAAUUAUAGCAAUCUUAAACCGCCAGUUCAAUUUCAGUUGACUGUUUUCGCCACCUUAACAUGACCAUUCCAAGAAAUAUUACUAGGGAGAAUAAUAGAUUGUUAUAUAACUUGUAUAGUGUUUCUAAGUUACUAUUUUAUUUUCCUCUCAUUUAAUCAAUCAAGCAAUCAUCAAUAUAUUACACUUACCGAAUAAAGCAUGGGCAAGGCUGUUGUUUUCCAUGUAUUCAUAUACUAGCAAGAGUUGAUCCCCUUCAACACAACAGCCAUGAAUUUUAACAAGAUUUGGGUGUUGCAAACACGAAAUCAUGGCUAUCUCAUUUAAGAAUUCACGAUUCCCCUGCCUUGAUUUUGAAGAGAGCUGCUUCACAGCAAUUAUAGUACCAUUGGUUAACUGACCCUGCAUGUAUGUAUGUAACAAGAAGAACCGUUAAAGGAAGUUCUGUAUACAAAAGAAUAAUCACGAUGACCAAAGGUUUGAGUGUAUACCUUGUAAACAGGUCCAAAUCCACCUUCGCCAAUCUUGUUCAUGGGAUCAAAAUUGCUAGUGGCAGCUCUUAUUUGCUUUAAGGUAAAAGAACUGGCUUGGAAUUCUAGUCCUUCAAGAUCUGUUCAAAUGAAAGAGAAGUACAGUUUUAAAAAGUUGCCUGAUUUUUAGUGUUUACGCUUUGUAAAAGAACCAUAGACCAGCUAAAAAAACAUUUUCAAUCGAUAAAUUUCCUCCAGCCACAAGGUUUUGUUAUGAUUGUUUUAGUUUCAGUUCUCUCUUCCUGAAGCAGUUACUCAUCUAUUUGAAAGAUUCCAAACCUUCUUGUCUUCCGCUCUUGGUUCUAAAAUAGUGUCUCCAACAGAAGAUACCCAACACCAAGAUAAUGAGACAUGAUCCUAUAAUAACGCCAGCAACAAUUGGUGCAAUCGUCUUUUUUCCUGCCCCAUAGAGGGGUUUGAAGUCUGCCAGAAAGCAUAAGCCAAGAAAUUAUGAUAAUCAGAAACAACAAACAUAGGAAGAAAGAAUGACUGUGAGUAUUCAAGACUAUAUCGAUUAGUUGGAUGUUUGCUUUAAAUUUUCAAAUGGUUUUCUACCAUAGGUGCUGUGGCUUACAGUUCUUAGAUUUCACACUAUUGGAGCACUUGAACUUUUAUUCUCAAAAUGAUUGUACAACAUGUCACAUUGUUAGCCCGACAUGGGACAUGGAAGAAGUGGAAAAGAAAAUCACUCACUGGGAUCCACAGAAAUAGCUGAUAUAAGAGGCCCAUAAACUCCACCAAUAGGAAUUGCAGUAGUGCCUUUGCCAGCCCAUUGGAAGCGAAUCUCUAAAAUGUGAUUGGAAACAUUGGCAGUGAAUGGUCUCGUGAUUGGUUUAAGAACUCCAUGAGCUUCAGCUUCAAUGUUAAAAUCCUUCUCAACUAAUUUGUCCUGCAACAUAGCAAACCAACAAAAUUUGUAUUUGUUAUCCUGAAAGAAACAAACUCCAUAUGACCAAGUGACUAAGAAAAUGGGCUCUCAAGAAUAGCUUUAAACAUAUCACACAACUGGAGACAUCUCACAAGAUGGAACAUUUUGAAUGGAACACAUCAGGCACAAAAUUAUAAUAUGCAAGCCCACAACCCAUCAUCUGAUUCUCAGGCAUCACAGCCUGAGUUGACUCUGAUGAAAAUAUAUUUCUUGAUUGUCAUAAAGUACCUGGAUAUAAAUAUCAAAUAUGCGCCUGCCAAGGGUUUUAUAUGUUUUGUCAUUUGUGAAUUGGAUCUCCGCAAAGUGUAGAGCCACUGAAUAAUUCCCAUUUUCUAAACAAUAUCCAAUAUAAGUAAGCGAAAGAGGAGAAAUACGUGCAUCAUUGUACAAUUCAGAAAUCCCUGAUGACUGUGAAUUUGCAAUAUAAUUAGUAUUUUGCUCAUCAUCAUCAUCUGUGAAAUCUCCUGUGCUACUGAUUCCCCAGUUAGUACCAUCCAGUAAAUGGUAUGUUGCAGCACCACCACCAACUCCUGCAUCUCCUUCGAAUGUGCUGUCAUUUACUUUUACAUUACCUCCACCACAAUUAAUGUGCAAAGAGUGCCAAUCUGUGAAGAGAAAACAAUGUGAAAUACUAAAGCAGCAAAGACCUUUUCACAUACUGUUAAUCCAUUUGAAAACAUUAAAAGGAAAGCAAGCUCAUAUGGUCAGUUUUUUUAUUUAUUAUUUAUUUUGUUGGGGGUUGGGGAACUUGUGAGUGAUCAGCAAACGUAAUUGUAUUAUCAUCAAUUCUAGGGAUCAACUAGAUUACUUCACCUUGCCUUUAAGUACUUCAGAUAAAGCACUUACGUACAUGAUAACAAGACUUGUGAUUGAAUUCGUAAAGAACAUGACAAAGAAUUGUGAUUCCAGGAGUCAAUAAAUGUGAAGAGAAUAUAGAAGAGAUUCUAAUACGAAGAGAAUUCUAACAACAUCAAAUCUGAAAUGAUACUUACAUCGAUGACAUGUGAAAUUGUUUGUACAUGGAAAAACUCCACGUCUGGUUUUAGUCAAGAAAAAAUGUAAACAAAACAGAUUAGCUCCAUAUCGUUGCCAAGUGAGGUCAACAACAGUAGAGUAACAAAUGGCUGUCGUGAGAAGAUUUCUUGCUUUCAUUGAAAAGCAAAUGGCACCAUCAAAACAGAAAUGAAGAUUUAAUGAUAGAAUGACCAGCUAUAUGCGCAAAAUACUUCAUGUAGAGGUAAUUACCUUCGUAACUUUUUUUGUUUUUAAAGGAAUUACCACUGUAACUUAAGCUGGUAUAAUAGGAAAGAAAAAGGGAACUUACAAGUUAUUUUCCACUGAAGAACUCCGGAACAAAUUCAGAUUUAGAUUCCUAGUUAAAAAAUGAUACAUCUAUCAGGACUUAGAUCCAUCACAGGAUAUACAUGGAGGUAAACAGAAUCAGAUAAUUAUUCACUUAAGAGAAAUAUACUGACGGUUUCUCACGGCAAGCAGGCUGCUCAGGACUCUGCCAAGUGAAAUUAUUGUAAGAAAGGUCCCUGCAUGCAAGAAAGAAACAACGAUCUUUUCAUUGUAGAUGGAAAUUUAAUUUAAAAUGAUGAAGCAAUUGAAAGAUACAAGAGAAUGUCUUUGUGUUUGACACAACCCCCUCACUGCUAUCCUCAUCAAAUGAAAAAGCUAAACCUCAAAAUUGUUUUGUUUCUAAUAUGUGCUAGUUGUGAUAUGUGAUGUGCUCCACAAAGCCUAACAUAAUGGCUUGUUCAUAUGCCUCCAGCAAACUCAUUUUCAACAAUAGUAAAUUAACAGAUUAACAAAUUUAUAGAGCUUAACGAUGGAUAACAAAUGCACGUUACAAGGAUUGAUGCUCAUAAACUCCUCUGAUAAACAUAAGAAUCUAAAAUCCAAGAGAUAAGGUACACACACAUUAGUUCCUUUCUUCAGGAUUGACUCCGGUACAUUCCCUUGGAUAGAAUUGCCGGUAAGAAAGCUGAUAAAGGCCAGAUCAAGCAGUUAGUAUCUGGACAUUUGAAAAUUAGAAUAGUAAAAUUAAAACUUUUGUUUCAGUAACUUGCGUGAAUUUCAAAUCGGCUGGGAGUGCAACAUCGGGAAGUUCCCCAGUUAGAUGAUUAAAGCUGAGAUCCCUAUAAAAGCCAAAAAAAAAAAAAAAAGAGCGAGAAUAAAAAUUUAUACGUGUGCUAAUUAGAGACCCUAACUACAUAUGAUGAUCUGCACAAUAGAACAUAGGUAAUCGAAAAGUAAGUAAGUAACAUACUUACAGAAACCGAAGAUUUUUUAUUCCCCAUAUAUAUUCAGGUAUCUCUCCAGCUAUAUUACAGUUCCUCAAAAUUCUGGAAAUCCAUCAACAAUCAAAUCAGAUGAAGCAAUUUUGAGGUGAAUAAACUCCAUUAAUGUGAUAAAAAUGAAGAGUCAUACAUCCGUGUAAGGCCUGUCAUGUUUCUAAGCAUCGGAAAAGUCUGAUUCAUUCCUUGCAAGUCACUAAUCCUCCUGUUCAUAUAAGUAUCGUCAUUAACAGAUCUUUUCAGCAAUAUUCAAUAUGCUAAACUAUUAUGACAAUGAAAGUAUUAAAUCAUUUGAAUUAUUGUAAAAGAAUACUUAUUAAAUUUUCACUGACAAUUGAUUUAGCUUAUCCAAAGCAGAGAUUGAUGGCGGAAUGGGUCCUUCAAGUCCACUACCUUGAAUUUCUCUGCAUUAAGUUAAGUAAAGCAAUCAAUAAUAUUUCAAGGGCCUGACAGUAACUUGAACAAUUUUGGCAUGUCGAAGAGCCUACAGUCUGUUAAGUUGUGUCCAGCUUUGUAUAAAAUCUGGCACACUCCCAUUGAAGUUGUUGUCAUUAAUCCUACUGCAUUGUCCAACAAGAACAAGAAUGAAUUAUGGCUUACACUUUCUGCCAAAUUUCAGAAUAUCCUCAGAAUAAACUUUUGAAAAGCUUACAAGUCUGUUAAAUUUUUCAGCUUCACAAGUUCCAUUGGUAAAUUUCCAAUCAAUCUAUUGGAUGAUAGUCUCCUGCAAUAAAAUGUAGAUUAUCCUCCGAUGAAUAUGCUGAUAACGGACAAAAACUGAACGUAAAGAAACCCCAUAAAUGCCUUACAAGGUUUCCAAGUUAACGAAAUUCCCAAGCUCUUGAGGUAUUGUUCCUGAAAAUUGGUUUUCUUCAAGGUCCCUGGUAAACAGAUCCAUUGAGAUUUCUAAUAAUCGCAGAACAUAUUGGUAUAAAAACUUAAAGGACUCUUACCUGCAAAUUUGCACAUACACAUGAACAAAGAAAAUAUUCUGAGGAAUAAUUAAGCAUAAGACUUCUAGUUUAUCUCCUUGAAGAAACAAGAAUUUUGUUCUCUCAGUCAAAGAAAUAAAAAAUAAUUGGAAAAUUCAUGAAAUUUAAAAUAAUGAAAAACUAUAAUCAGUUCAUUUCUGCAAGUCCAUCAACUGGAUAUUGUAGUCAUGAUGAGUUUUCGAAGCUUACAAGUAUGUGAGACUAGUAAUGUUCCCCAAAUGGCUUGGAAUAUUGCCUGACAAUCGGUUUGCAAAAACAGAUCUGCAUGGACAAUUCCAAUAUGGUUAAUUCAGUGAGACAAACAAAAUUUUAUUUGCUCGACUGAUAGAAAGAUGCAGAUAUAGCUUACAUAUACUUCAGUUGCAUCGAGGCCCAUUCACGUGGUAUCGAACCAUGCAGAUAGUUGUAAGCAAAAUCACUGCAUUCCACAACAAUAUCAAUCAAAUUUACAAAUUGGUCUGUAAAAGAAAGAAGGAAACGAAGAUAUUCAUAAUGCAGUAGACUAAUAGGGGUGCAUUUAGUUACAUUUUUGGCAUGGGUCUAUUUUUUGGUUCUGUUCAAAUGAAAGAGAAGUACAGUUUUAAAAAGUUGCCUGAUUUUUAGUGUUUACGCUUUGUAAAAGAACCAUAGACCAGCUAAAAAAACAUUUUCAAUCGAUAAAUUUCCUCCAGCCACAAGGUUUUGUUAUGAUUGUUUUAGUUUCAGUUCUCUCUUCCUGAAGCAGUUACUCAUCUAUUUGAAAGAUUCCAAACCUUCUUGUCUUCCGCUCUUGGUUCUAAAAUAGUGUCUCCAACAGAAGAUACCCAACACCAAGAUAAUGAGACAUGAUCCUAUAAUAACGCCAGCAACAAUUGGUGCAAUCGUCUUUUUUCCUGCCCCAUAGAGGGGUUUGAAGUCUGCCAGAAAGCAUAAGCCAAGAAAUUAUGAUAAUCAGAAACAACAAACAUAGGAAGAAAGAAUGACUGUGAGUAUUCAAGACUAUAUCGAUUAGUUGGAUGUUUGCUUUAAAUUUUCAAAUGGUUUUCUACCAUAGGUGCUGUGGCUUACAGUUCUUAGAUUUCACACUACUGGAGCACUUGAACUUUUAUUCUCAAAAUGAUUGUACAACAUGUCACAUUGUUAGCCCGACAUGGGACAUGGAAGAAGUGGAAAAGAAAAUCACUCACUGGGAUCCACAGAAAUAGCUGAUAUAAGAGGCCCAUAAACUCCACCACUAGGAAUUGCAGUAGUGCCUUUGCCAGCCCAUUGGAAGCGAAUCUCUAAAAUGUGAUUGGAAACAUUGGCAGUGAAUGGUCUCGUGACUGGCUUAAGAACUCCAUGAGCUUCAGCUUCAAUGUUAAAAUCCUUCUCAACUAAUUUGUCCUGCAACAUAGCAAACCAACAAAAUUUGUAUUUGUUAUCCUGAAAGAAACAAACUCCAUAUGACCAAGUGACCAAGAAAAUGGGCUCUCAAGAAUAGCUUUAAACAUAUCACACAACUAGAGACAUCUCACAAGAUGGUACAUUUUGAAUGGAACACAUCUGGCACAAAAUUAUAAUAUACAAGCCCACAACCCAUCAUCUGAUUCUCAGGCAUCACAGCCUGAGUUGACUCUGAUGAAAAUAUAUUUCUUGAUUGUCAUAAAGUACCUGGAUAUAAAUAUCAAAUAUGCGCCUGCCAAGGGUUUUAUAUGUUUUGUCAUUUGUGAAUUGGAUCUCCGCAAAGUGUAGAGCCACUGAAUAAUUCCCAUUUUCUAAACAAUAUCCAAUAUAAGUAAGCGAAAGAGGAGAAAUACGUGCAUCAAUGUACAAUUCAGAAAUCCCUGAUGACUGUGAAUUUGCAAUAUAAUUAGUAUUUUGCUCAUCAUCAUCAUCUGUGAAAUCUCCUGUGCUACUGAUUCCCCAGUUAGUACCAUCCAGUAAAUGGUAUGUUGCAGCACCACCACCAACUCCUGCAUCUCCUUCGAAUGUGCUGUCAUUUACUUUUACAUUACCUCCACCACAAUUAAUGUGCAAAGAGUGCCAAUCUGUGAAGAGAAAACAAUGUGAAAUACUAAAGCAGCAAAGACCUUUUCACAUACUGUUAAUCCAUUUGAAAACAUUAAAAGGAAAGCAAGCUCAUAUGGUCAGUUUUUUUAUUUAUUAUUUAUUUUGUUGGGGGUUGGGGAACUUGUGAGUGAUCAGCAAACGUAAUUGUAUUAUCAUCAAUUCUAGGGAUCAACUAGAUUACUUCACCUUGCCUUUAAGUACUUCAGAUAAAGCACUUACGUACAUGAUAACAAGACUUGUGAUUGAAUUCGUAAAGAACAUGACAAAGAAUUGUGAUUCCAGGAGUCAAUAAAUGUGAAGAGAAUAUAGAAGAGAUUCUAAUACGAAGAGAAUUCUAACAACAUCAAAUCUGAAAUGAUACUUACAUCGAUGACAUGUGAAAUUGUUUGUACAUGGAAAAACUCCACGUCUGGUUUUAGUCAAGAAAAAAUGUAAACAAAACAGAUUAGCUCCAUAUCGUUGCCAAGUGAGGUCAACAACAGUAGAGUAACAAAUGGCUGUCGUGAGAAGAUUUCUUGCUUUCAUUGAAAAGCAAAUGGCACCAUCAAAACAGAAAUGAAGAUUUAAUGAUAGAAUGACCAGCUAUAUGCGCAAAAUACUUCAUGUAGAGGUAAUUACCUUCGUAACUUUUUUUGUUUUUAAAGGAAUUACCACUGUAACUUAAGCUGGUAUAAUAGGAAAGAAAAAGGGAACUUACAAGUUAUUUUCCACUGAAGAACUCCGGAACAAGUUCAGAUUUAGAUUCCUAGUGAAAAAUGAUACAUCUAUCAGGACUUAGAUCCAUCACAGGAUAUACAUAGAAGUAAACAGAAUCAGAUAAUUAUUCACUUAAGAGAAAUAUACUGACGGUUUCUCACGGCAAGCAGGCUGCUCAGGACUCUGCCAAGUGAAAUUAUUGUAAGAAAGGUCCCUGCAUGCAAGAAAGAAACAACGAUCUUUUCAUUGUAGAUGGAAAUUUAAUUUAAAAUGAUGAAGCAAUUGAAAGAUACAAGAGAAUGUCUUUGUGUUUGACACAACCCCCUCACUGCUAUCCUCAUCAAAUGAAAAAGCUAAACCUCAAAAUUGUUUUGUUUCUAAUAUGUGCUAGUUGUGAUAUGUGAUGUGCUCCACAAAGCCUAACAUAAUGGCUUGUUCAUAUGCCUCCAGCAAACUCAUUUUCAACAAUAGUAAAUUAACAGAUUAACAAAUUUAUAGAGCUUAACGAUGGAUAACAAAUGCACGUUACAAGGAUUGAUGCUCAUAAACUCCUCUGAUAAACAUAAGAAUCUAAAAUCCAAGAGAUAAGGUACACACACAUUAGUUCCUUUCUUCAGGAUUGACUCCGGUACAUUCCCUUGGAUAGAAUUGCCGGUAAGAAAGCUGAUAAAGGCCAGAUCAAGCAGUUAGUAUCUGGACAUUUGAAAAUUAGAAUAGUAAAAUUAAAACUUUUGUUUCAGUAACUUGCGUGAAUUUCAAAUCGGCUGGGAGUGCAACAUCGGGAAGUUCCCCAGUUAGAUGAUUAAAGCUGAGAUCCCUAUAAAAGCCAAAAAAAGAAAAAAAAGAAAGAAAGAGAGAGAACAAAAAUUUAUACGUGUGCUAAUUAGAGACCCUAACUACAUAUGAUGAUCUGCACAAUAGAACAUAGGUAAUCGAUAAGUAAGUAAGUAACAUACUUACAGAAACCGAAGAUUUUUUAUUCCCCAUAUAUAUUCAGGUAUCUCUCCAGAUAUAUUACAGUUCCUCAAAAUUCUGGAAAUCCAUCAACAAUCAAAUCAGAUGAAGCAAUUUUGAGGUGAAUAAACUCCAUUAAUGUGAUAAAAAUGAAGAGUCAUACAUCCGUGUAAGGCCUGUCAUGUUUCUAAGCAUCGGAAAAGUCUGAUUCGGUCCUUGCAAGUCACUAAUCCUCCUGUUCAUAUAAGUAUCGUCAUUAACAGAUCUUUUCAGCAAUAUUCAAUAUGCUAAACUAUUAUGACAAUGAAAGUAUUAAAUCAUUUGAAUUAUUGUAAAAGAAUACUUAUUAAAUUUUCACUGACAAUUGAUUUAGCUUAUCCAAAGCAGAGAUUGAUGGCGGAAUGGGUCCUUCAAGUCCACUACCUUGAAUUUCUCUGCAUUAAGUUAAGUAAAGCAAUCAAUAAUAUUUCAAGGGCCUGACAGUAACUUGAACAAUUUUGGCAUGUCGAAGAGCCUACAGUCUGUUAAGUUGUGUCCAGCUUUGUAUAAAAUCUGGCACACUCCCAUUGAAGUUGUUGUCAUUAAUCCUACUGCAUUGUCCAACAAGAACAAGAAUGAAUUAUGGCUUACACUUUCUGCCAAAUUUCAGAAUAUCCUCAGAAUAAACUUUUGAAAAGCUUACAAGUCUGUUAAAUUUUUCAGCUUCACAAGUUCCAUUGGUAAAUUUCCAAUCAAUCUAUUGGAUGAUAGUCUCCUGCAAUAAAAUGUAGAUUAUCCUCCGAUGAAUAUGCUGAUAACGGACAAAAACUGAACGUAAAGAAACCCCAUAAAUGCCUUACAAGGUUUCCAAGUUAACUAAAUUCCCAAGCUCUUGAGGUAUUGUUCCUGAAAAUUGGUUUUCUUCAAGGUCCCUGGUAAACAGAUCCAUUGAGAUUUCUAAUAAUCGUAGAACAUAUUGGUAUAAAAACUUAAAGGACUCUUACCUGCAAAUUUGUACAUACACAUGCACAAAGAAAAUAUUCUGAGGAAUAAUUAAGCAUAAGACUUCUAGUUUAUCUCCUUGAAGAAACAAGAAUUUUGUUCUCUCAGUCAAAGAAAUAAAAAAUAAUUGGAAAAUUCAUGAAAUUUAAAAUAAUGAAAAACUAUAAUCAGUUCAUUUCUGCAAGUCCAUCAACUGGAUAUUGUAGUCAUGAUGAGUUUUCGAAGCUUACAAGUAUGUGAGACUAGUAAUGUUCCCCAAAUGGCUUGGAAUAUUGCCUGACAAUCGGUUUGCAAAAACAGAUCUGCAUGGACAAUUCCAAUAUGGUUAAUUCAGUGAGACAAACAAAAUUUUAUUUGCUCGACUGAUAGAAAGAUGCAGAUAUAGCUUACAUAUACUUCAGUUGCAUCGAGGCCCAUUCACGUGGUAUCGAACCAUGCAGAUAGUUGUAAGCAAAAUCACUGCAUUCCACAACAAUAUCAAUCAAAUUUACAAAUUGGUCUGUAAAAGAAAGAAGGAAACAAAGAUAUUCAUAAUGUAGUAGACUACUAGGGGUGCAUUUAGUUACAUUUUUGGCAUGGGUCUAUUUUUUGGUAGCAUUAGACUAAAAAUAAACAAAAUUGCAAAAUUCCUUCUGAGGAAGCACUUGUAGAUGAUUUCUAGAAAAUGCUUUGAGGGUCAAAAAUGUACCGGAAAUGCUUUAUGGAGGAGCAUCAGCAAGUGCUUUUAAAGUUCUUUCACAAGCAUUCACAGAAACCCUCUCAACAAAAUCGGGUAUCAAUCCCAAAUGCAUAAAAAAUUAGCGAACAAUAAAAUUACAAUAUAUAUGCAUUGAUGAAAGUUGUGUACAAUCUUACACAUUUUCGAGGUAAGGAAGAUUGACAAUUUGAGGUGGGAGAGUUCCUGGAAGGCUGAAACGCAUGAAUUCCCUGAAAAAGUAAAGCAAACCCAGAUUAUUUUAUGGGAAAAGAAAUUUCCUUUUCGUAAAAACAGCACUUUUCACACUCCAUUAAUGGGCAAUAGCAAUUUUCAGACUUUUUAAUUACUACAUUAAAAAUUGACACUGUGUGACCAAGAUUCCUCUUUGAAAGAAUGCUACAAAUACUUGUGAUUUGCAGAAGAUAUCUUUAGAAUAAAUUCUGGAAUUAACUUUCAAAGAAACAUGUUCGUGAGAGAAUCAAGGCAACUAAUUCGUGAGAGAAUCAAGGCAACUAACUUACAUGGCAAUAAUGUGGCAGGUUUCAUUCUGAAAUUGGCAGUUGCAGGUGAUGUUUCUCAAAGGAUCUGUUAAUACAAUCUGUUUUAUAGUGACGUGAUCUUCACAAGCAUCAGAACCGAAAGUCCAGUUAGUGGCUCCCAUUGUUUGAGCUAUCUGAUUGAGAACAUCAACUGCAUUUUCAUCAUCAUCAUCAGAAAAUUUAAAAGUUAAAAAAAAAACUGCUAAUAAUGCUUUUAAAAGAAUACUUGAGAUUCUGGGUUUUUACUAUCUUGAUAAAGUAAUUAUUCAGAGAUAGGAUCAAACCAACUGCCAACACAAUCAAAACCUACUAAUCGAAGUAGAUCCUACUUGGCAAAAAUGAAAAUGUGUACUAAAAUUGCAAAAAAUUGAACUUACCUUCAUCUCGAGGCAGUUUAGCAGCAGCAAAAAUUUGAGCCCAAAAGCAACUCAUAACCAGCACAAGAAGUAGAAAACGUUUGAAGAAGAGGAGCAUUUUCGAAAAACCCAAAAUAGGAAUCUGUAUUCAAGUUUGUACACAAAAUAUGCCUUGAGCAGAGCAGCUCUCUUUUUGCCUCUAGCAGCCAACGUCAUCCAAUCGUUCUCUUCUCCUUUAUCCUUACUUUUUGAUUUACACAGUGGGAAAGGUUAGAAUAUUAUGCAGCUCCAUAAAUAAAAUAUGCUGUAUGCACGCACAUCCAAUAUUUCUUUAGUCAAAAUGUUGAAAAGUGAAGAUUAAACAGCCAUCUUAAUUACUUUCAAUUCACCUUUCCGUGCAUGCAUGAGCAUGCAAUACGAAUACCUUUACUUUUUUUCUUUUUUUUUUUAGUAGGAAUCAACGUUUAACAUUUCGUAUGACUAAUGAUAGUAACUCUAACAGAAAGGGCCGGUUAUUGCUUUUGUCAAAUCAAUGAUAAGGUUUCAGAUUCCUUCGCUGCUGUAGCUUUGCCACGCCUGCAAACUCGCAAAACUUCUUGAGCUUGGAGCGAAGUGAAUCAUUUGGACACGCAUUGAUCAUUGAUAGCUCAAAUAUAUGAAUAGUUAGUGUCAAACUGUCAAUUUGAUAUGGAUGAGUCAUAGAUCUUAUGUAGAAAAUGAGCACAAAUAGCAUGGGAGACUCCAAAAAAUAUCUUGUAACAUAACUUUUUUUUUAAUUUUGUAGUGAAUUUCUUUUAUCUUUUAAUAGUGAGGUGCUAUUUUUUUAACUAAUUUUGAUACAUUCAUCGCUGCUGUUUUUCCAAAGCAGGACGGAUGUGAGCCGCUACACAUGGCAGCCAGCUAGGGCCAAUCAGAUUGGAAAUGGUUGCGUGCGCCUCUAAAAUUAUUGAGGAAGCCAGCAAUCAUCAAAGUUGUUCUUUUCACAUUUGUUUUGUGGACUCCAAAUGUAUAGUUAGUUUGUAAUCUUACAGUCACCAAUGUAACAAAAUGCACAAUAACAUAGAUGUGUAUAUACACACAUAUUUUCAAAAAAUGAAAAAGGAACUGCGGAAUUGACAACACCAAAAAUGAUGUAUGUUUCUAGGAACUCGAUGAAUUAUGGUUGUAAAGAUCAUACGCGGUUCAUGAGGGCAUAGUCGUCGAAAGCUGUACCUCUGAAUUCAUGCCUUGGAUCAGCCUAUAACCGUCUCUAAUGACUUUAUACUUCUUAUAUGACUCCUCAUUAAUUUCAUAGAGAUCUUGGGCAGCAGAAGUAGAGGAAGAGGCCUGAUUGAACUCAGCUGAUAUUGAAUGCUGGGACUGAGUUGCUGUCGAAUUCUGACUACGCCUCAGCCCCUUUUGGUCUCUCAAGGCUUUGAACCUCAAAUCUUGACUAUAACUUCCAGCUUCUGGUAUCAUAUCUGGUAUGGCAGUUUUUCCUUCCAGCAUGUUUACCACUUCCGACAUUGUUGGCCUUAGUGAUGGCGAAGCAUUUGUGCACAAAAGAGAUACUUUGAUCAUCCUUUCUACUUCUUCCUUGUUGUAUUUUGAUCCUAGCCUUUCAUCCACUAGCUCCACUAACUUUCCAUCUAGCUGAAGAUGACAGGCCUACCCAAACCAAAACAUAGCAUUAGAGAAGACACAACAACCACAGAAAUGAAAAUGCAGAAGGUGAAUUAUAUGAGUUAGUUGCUGACCCAAUCGAGAAGACAAGUGCAGUCGAACUCCAGAGCUGAAGCAUAACUCAUAUUAUUUUUCCCACUAACAAUUUCCAAGGCCACGAUCCCAAAACUGUAAACAUCUGCUUUGUAGGUCAAAUAGCCCCAGAGUGCAUAUUCUGGUGCCAUGUAUCCUCUGAAGUCAAAAUUAUCAAUUUUGUAUUACACUGAAACAAUAACAAAAUUAUCAGUUUUAAAUGAGAGACAUGAAAUGAGGCUUACAUGGUUCCAGCAAUGCGAGUGCUGAUGUGGGUUUUAUCCUCCUCAUCAAGCUUAGCUAGUCCAAAAUCUGAUAUUUUGGGGUUUAAAUCCCUAUCUAGCAGAACAUUUGUAGCUUUGAUGUCUCUGUGAACAAUUUUGAAUCUUGAUUCUUCAUGAAGAAAAGCUAACCCCCUGGCUAUGCCAAGACAGAUCUUCUGCCUGGUCGGCCAGUCCAAUUCCAGUUCACAGUUUUCACGACCUUAAAAAUACAAUAACCAUUCCGAAUCCAAUCAGAAACAUCCCUACAGAAAAUGAAACAUAGUAUACCUGUAUGUAACAUUUGCUUCUUGUUUUACUAGACUAAACUUACCAAACAAAGCACGGGCAAGGCUGUUGUUUUCCAUGUAUUCGUAUACUAGCAAGAGUUGAUCCCCUUCAACACAACAGCCAUGAAUUUUAACAAGAUUUGGGUGUUGCAAGCACGAAAUCAUGGCUAUCUCAUUUAAGAAUUCACGAUUCCCCUGCCUUGAUUUUGAAGAGAGCUGCUUCACAGCAAUUAUAGUACCAUCUGCUAGUUGACCCUGCAUCCCAGUUAUGAAAAAAGAAAUGUACAAAUUUUAAGUAACCAUUGAAGGAAAUUUUGUGUUAAGAGGAUGAUUAGGGGCAAAAGGUUGGCCAAUAUACCUUGUACACAGGUCCAAAUCCACCUUCUCCAAUCUUCUUUGCAGAAUCAAAAUUGUUAGUUGCAGCUUUAAUUUGCUUUAAGGUAAAAGAAAUUGUUUGGAGAUCCGACUCUUUCAUAAAACCUGUCCAAAUAAAGAGAGACAAGUGUGCUUUAGCCUUUAGAUGAGACAAGUAGCUUUAGCCUUUAGAUGAGUUUCCGGGUUCAUUAAACAAAAUUAGCAUCAGCAUGUAGUUUGAACCCAAAUGUCUUCAAAUGCUUACAUAAAUGCUGUCAAGAACUAAAAUUAAUGCUGUUAUAAAACUACUAUUUUGAUUAUUCUAAUGAAAAAGAAAAUGAAUAUUGAUAGGCUUAAUAACUUAUGGAGAUUUUCUUUUUCCUUUCACAUAAAAUGGAUAUGUAAGAAAAUGGCUGCAAACAAACUAAAUAUCUGAAUUUUGGUUGUUUUCUAAUGUACAAUCGUAGAGAGUUAAACUUCAAAAAAGAACAUUUGAAAUUGUGUUACUAAAAAUCCGGACUUCGCAACGUAUUAUAAUGUUAGUCGAUUUUGAAAACAGAAUAAGGGAUGAAAAGGACUCACUGGGGUCAUUCAAUGAAAUAGCUGAUACUAGGGGGCCGUAGAUUCCCCUCUUAGGAAGUGCGGUAGUCCCUUUGCCAGCCCAAUGGAAAUGGAUCUCUAUAAUGUGAUUUGUAACAGUGACAUUAUAGGAUCUUGCAACUGGCUUAAGAACCCCAGAAGCUUCAGCUUUUAUAUCGAAAUUCCUCUCAACUAGUUUGUCCUGAAACAAGACAAUCCAGAGAAACAUAUUGAGAAUCAUCCAUCAUAUUACUCAAUAGCACAACUGUCUCCCAAGAACUCACAGAGAGAAAUGUGUCCGAUGAAAAUCUAUUUGCUGAUUCUGAUUAAUUACCUGAAUAUAAAUAUCAAACAGACGCCUUCCCAGGCUGAAAAAUGUAAUUCCAUUACUGAACUGGACCUCCGCAAAGUGUAGACUCAAAGUAUAAUUUCCGUUGUCUAAACAAUAUCCAAAAUACGUAAGUGAAAGAGGAGCAAUGCGUGCAUUAAUGUAUAGUUCAGAAAGGUUUGAUGAGUCAGGAGUUGCAAUGUAACGUCUGUUUUGUUCAUCAUCAUCAUCAGUGAAGUCUCCACUGCUACUAAAACCCCAGUUAGUAUCAUCUUGUGAAUGGUAUGUUGCAGCACCACCACCAAUUUGUCCAUCUCCUUCAAAUGUGCUGCCAUUUACUUUUACUUCAUUUCCACCACAAUUAAUGUGCAGUGAGUGCCAAUCUGCCGAGAAAAAAGAAUGUUAAAGACUAUCUGAGCAAUGAGUUUUCAAGAAACCAGAAAUGAACUGACAAUUAAAAAAUAAACAGAAGAAUUGAAGUUGAUUUGAAUAUGAUAUUAUUAAUAGCUAGGCUACCAAAUAUUUGUGAUUCUAAAAGUCAACAUAUUCGAGAUAUAGAUUUUAUGGUGACUUACUGAUAGUAGAGUAUACUUACAUCGAUCGCAUUUGAAAUUAUUCCUACAUGGAAGAACUCCACUUCUGGUUUUAGUCAAGGAAAAAAAGAAUAUUAGUAGACAUUACAUUGUCUAAUCUAAAAAUAUACGUUGCUUCUUAUUUAUUGGAUGAUAAAAUUACUGUAUAUUUGCAAACUUCUUUAUACAUUGGUUGUUAAAUCUGUCACAUAAGCUACAAUAAUAAGAAAGCAUGAAAAGCAACAUACAAAUUGCUGUCCCCAGAAGAACUUCGGAACAGGUUCAGAUUUAGAUUCCUAACGAAAUAACGGGAGACAAAGCAAAUAUCAGCACUCAGAUAUACCAAGUGAUAUUAUAAGCGGAGAAGAUUAUUUAUUUAACAUAGAGAGGGAAAUAUACUGACUGUAUCUCCCGACAAGCAGGCUGCUCAGGGUUUUGAUGAGUGAAAUUAUUAUAUGACAGAUCCCUGCAUGCAAGAAAGAAGCAAUGAAGGAAAUUUCAUGCAUAAGAUUAUUUAUUUAACAAAAUUGAUGUUUAAUAUGGUCUCUUUAGAAACAGGAUUACAAAGUUACAUAUGGUUACUAUAUAGUAAAUCAACAGAUUGCAAAUAUAUAUGAACAUAAAUCACCAAAAUAAGUAAAACUCAAGGCAUCCAGGUGAUAAGAUACACACACAUUAGUUCCUUUCCUCAAGAUCGACGCUGGUAUGUUCCCGCUGAGAAAGUUGCCAGUUAGAAAGCUGACCAAGGCCAUAUCAAGUGGUUAAUGAGUUGGACAUCACAUAAUUAACAUUGUAAAUCCAGACAGUUGAUUUCAUUAACUUACAUGAAUUUCAAACUCGGUGGAGUUGCAACAUUGGGAAUUUUCCCGGUUAGCCUAUUAAAACUGAGAUCCCUGUCCAAACCAAAUUCAAAAGAGAAUGAUUAUCCAUGUAAAUACAUUAACUGGCCUGUAAGUGCUGAUGCUUCAACUCUAUUGCUGCUAUGGCAGCUGCAAGGUAUAGAAGAAUACUACAUUACUAGUUGGUGUUACAUUUCAUGAAUGCUAACCGUGAAUUUUGCUUUCAUUUUCAAGUAUUUAAUUUCUGCAUUAGAAAACAAAGAAUGUAGCAUACUUACAAAAUUCGCAGAUUAUUCAUUCGCCAGAUAUAUUCAGGAAACUCCCCAGAAAUACCACAGUUUCUCAAAAUUCUGAAAAUCCAACAUUAAUCCUGUAAGAUAAUUAUAAGGCGAAUAAUCAUACUCCAUCAAAAUGAUAGAAAAUAGCCAAUGAGCAUACAUCCUUUUAAUGCCUGCCAUCUUUCUAAGAUCCGGAAAAGGAUGAUUUCUUCCAGCUAUGUCACUAAUCCUCCUGUUAGAGUGCCAUAAUUAACAGAUCCUUUUAGUAUCGUUAAAUAUAAUAAAUUAAUCAUAUAAAUUGAUGUAUUAAAUCAUUCUGAUUAUUGUAAUUGAAAAGUAGAGAAAUAUUUACUCACAAUUGUGUCAGCUUUUCCAAGACAGAGAUGGAUGAUGGAAUGGGUCCAUGAAAUUCACUACCUUGCAUUUCUCUGCAUCAACUCAAAUUAACCAAUCAAGAACAAUCAAGAACCAGAAUGUAUGCUGAGAAAUCUUUGUAAUGUAGAUGAUCGUACAGUCUGUCAAGUUGCUUCCAGUUUUGUAUAAAUUCUGGUAUACUCCCAUUGAAGUUGUUGUCACUGAUCCUACUGCAAUGUGCAAUAAGAAUGAGUACAGCUUAUACCUCUGAUGAAUUUUGAGCAUGAUCUGACACUAAUCAAGAAAGCUUACAAGUCCGUUAAAUUUUUUAGCUCAGCUAGUCCCGUGGGCAAACUUCCACUCAACUGAUUGGACGAUAGUCUCCUGUAACCCAUGACAAUUUAUCGUCCAAAUGAUUACAUUGAUCAUGAACAAAUAUCAGCCACAAAAAAGCUUGACAAUGCCUUACAGAGUUCCCAAGUUCACUAAUUUCCUGAACUCCUCAGGUACGGUUCCUGAGAAUUGGUUUGCUUCAAUGUCCCUGGUAAAAUAGACCCAUUCAGAUUACAAAUGGAAUAAAUUUGUUAUCAUUUACAUCAGUGGCCUAAAUAUGUUUGCAUAAACCAAGAAUUGAGAGCUUACAAGUACGUGAGACUGGUAAUGUUCGUCAAAUGGCUUGGAAUAUUGCCUGAUAACCGGUUUCCAAAAACAGAGCUGCAUUAAGAUUAUUGACGAUCAAUUAACUGUACGAAACUAGUAGAAUGCUAAAUGCUUAACCUGAUUAGAGAGAAUUAGAUAUAGCUUACAUGAACUUCAACUGCAACAAAGCCCAUUCGACUGGUAUGGAACCAUUUAGAUAGUUGUAGGCAAAAUCACUGCAAAUUAACAAAAACGAUUAAUUUAUUUAUAAGUUUAAUCUCCCAAUGCAUUAAAUUGGAGACUGUUCAACUCACACUUUCUGGAUGGAAGGAAGCUGAACCAAUUCCGGUGGAAGUGUUCCAGAAAGGUUGCAACGUUUGAAUUGUCUGAAAAUGGAAAACAAAAGAUACCCAAAAUUGGUCCUUCACAUCAACCUAAACACAAGACUGAAAAAUAAAAAUAUGCCGCUUCAAAUUUUAUAAAAUGACAGAAAAAGAUCCUACAUUUCAGUGAUGUGGCUUGUAUUAUCGAUUCCAAGGUUGCAAGUAAUGAUCCUGGUGGGACCUUCUUCCAGCACUAUCGGUGUCUCAUUCAGGUCACAAGCAUUAGCAUCAAACGUCCAGUCCCUAGCUCCCAUUGUUUUGGCAAUUCGAUUGAGCGCAUCAACUACAUACACAAAGAUGCAUCUCUCAAUUAAACAUCAGAACUUGGUGAAAAUAACAGUUUUGAGUUCGACCAGUCACCAAAUUUGAAGUUGUAUUUUGGGUUUUUUAUUUAAAUAUGCCCCCAUUUGUGCUUAAAUACUAAAUCUAUACCCCAUUACAAACAUAUACCUCGUGAAAGUGUAAAAAGUAAAAAAUAACCUAAAAAAACCAUCUAUUUACGUUUACUUUCUCUCUCAUGAUUUCUACAUAAUAACACAACCAAAGUCAAGUAUACUGGACUUGUUACCUGACUUAAUUAAAAAGAAAAUUUUUAUUUCAAUUUGAGUCGAGUAUUCUCAACUAAUUAUCGAACUUUAAUGAAAAAUCAAAAAUUUUUGCUGAAUGAAUAUUAGGUAAGGUUAAAUUAAAGUCGGAUAUUCUUGACUCUUUACUCGACUUACUUGAAAAAAUCAAAAAAAUUUCAAAUAAUUUUUUAUUUCAAUUGAAGUCGAGUAUUCUCGACUAUUUACCCGACUAACAUGAAAAAGUUGAGAAUUUAUGCUGAAUUACUAAUUGUGUAUGGUUUGGUUGAAGUCGAGUAUUCUCGAAUAUUUACCCGACUUCGAGGAGUUGGGUUUAGUUUUAUGAGGAUUUAGUUGUGGUUAUUUUUGUACUUUCUCUAGUUUUUUAGAGUAUAUAUGUGUAAAAUUUAAGAGUGUUAUAAUUUUAGGUAUAUAUUGGGUAUUUAGAAGGAAAUGGGGUAUAUCCCACGCAAUUCUCCCUUGUAUUUUUUUUAUUUUUUUAAUAAUAUUAUGAAUGCCACUAAUCUGACCAUUGUAAGAUCGCUGACCCUCAAUUCAAUUAUCAUCUUAGGCUCUUAACAAUGUUUUAUUCUUUAUUUCUGAGAAUAAUACACUACUAAUACCAAGAGAGAGAGAGAGAGAGAGAGAAAUGAAACAUAAGCUACAAUUGGUUACAAGAUAUCAUGAAGAAGGGGAUAUUGAAAAUAAAAAGAAAAUUUUAUCAGUCGAACCUUCAGCUCGAGGCAGAGUAGCAGAAACAAGUACUUGUGUCCAUAAGCAGCUUAAAGACAGAAUUGAGACAAGGAGCAGGUCAAGCUUCAAGAAGGACAUCUUUGAAGACCCAGAAAAGCUAGCCGUGAGGUAUGAGCUAUGAGCUAUCUUUCAAUUCUACCCAGUUUCCUUGUUGUACCGUACGGAUCUUCUGAUGAGCUGUUAUUAUGACGUUGUUUUAAUAAUCUUGCGCUUCUUUUAUAUUUGCUAAAUGCAGGGAUGAUGAAUCUUCCAAGCAAAUAGCUCGAUUAAGAAAAUUCCAACCACCCUUCUAAUGUGAUUUUGUCUUUCGUCCUGGUACGAUUUUAGAAUGCAGUACCAGUCAAACUAAAGUUAGAUUUGUUUUUGUCAUAUUCUGAAUUGUAUCCAAGUGCAUUGUUUUAAUAAAAAAUUGUCUCGGCACAAGGUUGACUUGCUGCCAAUGAUAAGAUUCUUAUUAAACCUCAUCCACAGCAUGUCUGAUUAAUUAAUCGCCGACAUGAAUUUUUCUACCUUACAGGUCAACGAAAGAUACAUCCCUCACAAAUUGAAUUGUUGGUCCCUAUCGAAUCUAUUGGUAUACGACCCCCCGAUAUUUGAAUUUUCAUUGGUUUUUUUGCAUGGUCAAACUGUAGGAUUCUGCUUUAAAUAUUUUGCUUUUGACCAUCGAAAUUGAGGCAGCAUGGCCACGGCUCUCUGAUUUUUUUUUUUACAUCAGUGACUAUUAUUUUAAUGCAAUAAUGCAUGUGUUAGGAAAUUAAUUAAAUUUCCUUAUACACACACAAAUAAAUAUUUAUUUAUUUAUAUAUAUGUCAUAGCAACAUUAGAAUGGAAUAUGGAUAGAAAAGAUUAUAGAGAUAUAGUUUAAUGAAUCAAUUAACCAAUUACUCACAGAUGUCCAUACACAAUCUGAACUUAAUUAGUGUGUUAAUUGGACCUUAAAAAGAGAGAGAGAGAGAGAGAGAGAGAGAGAGAAAUCCACUCUGGUUUGGUAAUUAAAAUAUGUUUUUUUUCUUCCAAUUGGAAAUGGAUGUCUCACUUUGAUAUUGAUGACUUGAAUAAAUCAAUAAAUUAUUUGACUACGUUACCUCCCAUUCCCAUUGGCUAUCUUUCACAAAAUACACGCAUUGACUAUUGGUUGUUUGAAAAAUUUUCUCUAGUUUGAAGAUAAAUUUUUGGUUUUACAUUUCUCAGUAGACUUUUAUUUUUGUAAGUACAUUUCUUAGUGGACUUGGAGAUUUUUGUGUUCAUGCAAAGAACUUUCUCUUCUUGCUUUUUCCCAUUAAAGAAAGAAAAUAAUUAUUUACUAUUUAAUUUCAAUGAUGAAAGAGACAUUUGCAAAACAGAUUUCAAGCUGUAAUAUGACGGGCGAUUGGCGAUUCCCGCCGGAUCCUAUAUCGUGCGUAGCCAGAAAAUAACAAUAAGAUGACUUCUUGUUUGCUAUUAUUGUUUCUCAAAUCUCAUGGAAAGGAUAUUGGUUCUCCGUUUGUAUUAAAAAAGUCCCAAACCAUUUUUCUUUUGAAUGAUUACGAUUUCGGAUAUAUUACAGCUUGAAAUCUACUAGGAUUUUAGAUUUUAGAUAUCUAUCUAUCUAUCUUAUUUAUUUAUUUAUUUAUUUAUAGUGCAACUAGAAGAAAAUAAAAAGAUAAAAACAAUAAUAGUUUGCCAUUAUAUUAUCACAAGUUAUAGAAACAUGUAAUAAUGCUAAUUAUUAAAAUUUAAUUUAGGUAAGGAUAAAAAUUAAUAAAUUAAAUAGAAAUAUUUUAGAGAAUAUAUUUUAAUGAUAAUAUCCAGACUUUUUAGUUUUUAGAUUAAGUAAAAAGUAAAAAAGAAUUGACUUAAUGACUAAAAAUUUUCAUUAAAUUAAAAAUAAAAAGACAGUGGCGUUUUUUUUUUGUCUGAAAUCUGCAUAGACCUGAAUUAGUCUGAAUUCUGAAUAGGUCUGAAUGUCUGAAUCUGAAUAAUAUGUUUAUUUUUUCGUCUGAAUCUCAAAAAAUAAGUAUUAAGUUGUUUGUUUUUUUCAACUUAAAAAGCUGAAAAUAUGUACUUUUACAUUUGUAUCUUUAUUAAAUUUGAAUGUCAAAUAAAUAAUAUUUUAUUAAAUUUUUAAUACAUAUGUACAUAAACAUUAAUUUUAAUACUGCUGUACGGCCAAGGCGGAUGUACGGUACAGCAGGUAAAACUAUAUUCAAGUGAAUACAUAAUGAUUUUGGAAUUUUAAUAUAUAAAAUACCAUAAAUUUCAAAUUUAUCAUAUAUAAUAUAAGAAAGAAAAAACAGGGAUAUUUUUAUAUGGGGUAAAUAUCUAUAGGUGAUUUUUGGGAUAGACAUGAAAAAUAAAUUAUAAAACAAGGAUAUUUUUGACAUUAGCAAGUAAUUAACUUAAUUUAAAUUUCUCCAUUAAGUAAAAAACUAAAAAAAAUUAACUUAUUUUAUUAAGUUAAAAUUAUCUAAAAAAUCUCAUUAAGUUAUAAAAACAAACACCUCUAAUUAACUUAAUUAAUUAAGUUAAGUCACUUUAAGCCAUUAAGUUAAAAAACAAACGCCACCUUAAUACCUUAAUUACUUAAAAUUAAAUUAAUUAAGUCAGUAAAUCAAAAGAAGCAGAAGGCCUCUAAGUCACAAACAAUUACUAAUGGUAAAGUUGAAUAUUGCAAAGGCUAUUUAAAAAAAAAAAAUUGAAAAGAAAAAAAGUUUAAUGUGUUAGAAAAAAUAUACGACAUUUUGAGCUAAAAAGAAAAAAAAAAUAUUCAUGAGAAAUGGUUACAAAUUAGGGAUGCAAAUGUUAUUAACCGAACCACAAAAAAAAAGGAUGACGCGAAGGCUGCAAACACGGUGAAUUGCAAGCAAAUUCGAUCCUGAUAAGCGAUAACCGGAAACUGAAACCCUAAUCUCUGGUUGCUGAAUGGACGAACGGAAUAAAACCAACGAUGAGGACGACGAAUUCUUUGAUACGCUCGACGAUUUUCCCUCUUACGACUGCAUUCCCGCCGACCAAUCAGAUCAAUCCACGUCAGAAUACAAAGAAACCACCUCCACUCUACGAUGCCGUUCUAUCCCCAACCGCCGAACUGAUAUUAAUAACUCCGGAGAGAAAAGGUACAAACUUUCUCGAAAUCAGAGAGAAAAAGAAACUAAUUUGAUAAAAUCUGAGCCCAUCAUCAAGGACCGAGUUGACUCAGUCCAUCUCGGAAGUGGUGUUAGCGAAGAGAAGGAGGAGGAGUCGACGGUGACUACUGAGAACGAAGAACGAGUUGUUGACUCGCUUGUUUCCGAGGUUGAGUCGCUGAAAAUUUUAGAUACAAAGAUGGUGCGAGAAGGUAUGACACAUAGACGUAGGUUACAAAAAAGUUGAAUGUUGAAACUUGAAACUAGCUUGCGGAUGAUUUUGCACAUCCGCUGGACUCAAAUUGUGUUGUGAAGAUCAUGGGCAGAUUUUGAAGAGCCAGUCCAUGAGGGGACUGGUGUUGAUACUUGGGCAACCGAACUUUGUCUUUCCAUAUGAAUACGACUGUCUCUCAUGGCCUUAAACUUCAAAUAUGCCUCUGCAUUAAUUUCACGGACAUCAUCGGUAGAGGAAGAACCAGGCAAGAAGCUGGCUGACGAUGAAUAAUGAGACAGACUUCCUUCCAAACCCGAACUAUUCAUUUCUCUUGGAUGGUCUCUUAGAGUUUUAAACCUCAAGUCUUCACUCAAACCACCGGCUUCGGGGAUUACAUACGGAAUGUUAGAAGAUCCUUCCAGCAUGCUUACCACUUCAGACAUGGUUGGCCUUAGUGAAGGUGACGCAUUGGUGCACAAGAGUGCUACUUUAAUCAUUCUCUCUGCUUCAACCUUGUCGAAUUCUGAUCCGAGCCUUGGAUCCACUAACUCCAUUAACGUACCACUUCGGUGUAAAUGGAAGGCCUGGGAAAUACAUA
rnacentral:lncRNA from 1 species